rnacentral:rRNA from 1 species
GACGAACGCUGGCGGCGUGCUUAACACAUGCAAGUCGAACGGAAAGGCCCUGCUUUUGUGGGGUGCUCGAGUGGCGAACGGGUGAGUAACACGUGAGUAACCUGCCCUUGACUUUGGGAUAACUUCAGGAAACUGGGGCUAAUACCGGAUAGGAGCUCCUGCUGCAUGGUGGGGGUUGGAAAGUUUCGGCGGUUGGGGAUGGACUCGCGGCUUAUCAGCUUGUUGGUGGGGUAGUGGCUUACCAAGGCUUUGACGGGUAGCCGGCCUGAGAGGGUGACCGGCCACAAUGGGACUGCGAUACGGAGCAGACUCCUACGGGAGGCAGCAGGGGGGAAUAUUGCACAAUGGGCGGAAGCCUGAUGCAGCAACGCCGCGUGCGGGAUGACGGCCUUCGGGUUGUAAACCGAUUUCGCCUGUGACGAAGCGUGAGUGACGGUAAUGGGUAAAGAAGCACCGGCUAACUACGUG